rnacentral:rRNA from 1 species
GACGAACGCUGGCGGCGCGCCUAACACAUGCAAGUCGAACGGAGUCAAGAGGAGCUUGCUUUUCUUGACUUAGUGGCGAACGGGUGAGUAACGCGUGAGUAACCUGCCCUGGAGUGGGGGACAACAGUUGGAAACGACUGCUAAUACCGCAUAAGCCCACGGAUCUGCAUGGAUCUGCGGGAAAAGGAUUUAUUCGCUCUAGGAUGGACUCGCGUCCAAUUAGCUAGUUGGUGAGGUAACGGCCCACCAAGGCGACGAUUGGUAGCCGGACUGAGAGGUUGAACGGCCACACUGGGACUGAGACACGGCCCAGACUCCUACGGGAGGCAGCAGUGGGGGAUAUUGCGCAAUGGGGGAAACCCUGAUGCAGCGACGCCGCGUGGAGGAAGAAGGUUUUCGGAUUGUAAACUCCUGUCGUUAGGGACGAUAAUGACGGUACCUAACAAGAAAGCACCAGCUAACUACGUG